GGAGGUAUAACUCAAAUGGUAGAGCACCUGCCUAGCAAGCAUGAAAUCCUGAGUUCAAACUCCAGUACCACAU
rnacentral:tRNA from 1 species